CACGUAGGGGGCGAGCGUUGUCCGGAAUCAUUGGGCGUAAAGAGCUCGUAGGCGGCUCAGUAAGUCGGGUGUGAAACCCUCAGGCUCAACCUGGGGACGCCACCCGAUACUGCUGUGGCUAGAGUCCAGUAGGGGAGUGUGGAAUUCCCGGUGUAGCGGUGAAAUGCGCAGAUAUCAGGAGGAACACCGGUGGCGAAGGCGGAUCUCUGGGCCAUUACUGACGCUGAGGAGCGAAAGCGUGGGGAGCGAACAGG
rnacentral:rRNA from 1 species